AUGGCAGUAGCUCAGCUGGCAGAGCGGCGGUCUCCAAAACCGUAGGUCGGGGGUUCGAUGCCCUCCUGCCAUGCAA
rnacentral:tRNA from 1 species